UACGUAGGUGGCAAGCGUUGUCCGGAUUUACUGGGCGUAAAGGGCGCGUAGGCGGCCUCUGCAAGUCGACUGUGAAAUCUCCGGGCUUAACCCGGAAAGGUCAGCCGAUACUGCAGGGCUAGAGUGCAGAAGGGGCAACUGGAAUUCUCGGUGUAGCGGUGAAAUGCGUAGAUAUCGAGAGGAACACCUGCGGCGAAGGCGGGUUGCUGGGCUGACACU
rnacentral:rRNA from 1 species